UACGUAGGUCCCGAGCGUUGUCCGGAUUUAUUGGGCGUAAAGCGAGCGCAGGUGGUUUAUUAAGUCUGGUGUAAAAGGCAGUGGCUCAACCAUUGUACGCAUUGGAAACUGGUAGACUUGAGUCCAGGAGAGGAGAGUGGAAUUCCAUGUGUAGCGGUGAAAUGCGUAGAUAUAUGGAGGAACACCGGUGGCGAAAGCGGCUCUCUGGCCUGUAACUGACACUGAGGCUCGAAAGCGUGGGGAGCAAACAGG
rnacentral:rRNA from 1 species